GGCCGUGUCCCCAUCCCAAAAAUGCCUCCUCGGCAGGAGCUGGCUGUGCUUGUCAGAGACCGGAAGCGGGAUUAUGCUGUGCUGGGAUGUGGAGAUCAUAAAAAUGAGAUAACUGCACAGUUCCACGAGCACUCAGUCUCUGCCAGGAGCUGGAGUCGAUUUCCCACCUCUAACCCUUGCAGGCAGUGCCAUUUUCUUCUGAAGCACUACAUGAUCACCACA